rnacentral:rRNA from 1 species
CGGAGGGUGCGAGCGUUAUCCGGAAUUACUGGGUUUAAAGGGUGCGUAGGCGGCUAUGUAAGUCAGGAGUGAAAGUUUGCGGCUCAACCGUAAAAUUGCUUUUGAUACUGCAUGGCUAGAAUCAGGAUGAGGUUAGCGGAAUGUGGCAUGUAGCGGUGAAAUGCAUAGAUAUGCCAUAGAACACCAAUUGCGAAGGCAGCUGGCUAGACCUGCAUUGACGCUGAGGCACGAAGCGUGGGAGCGAACAGGAUU